CAUGACUUGUUUUUUUUUUUUUGUCCCAAUCUUUAUAGUCUUCUCUGCUGGAAUCAUACAACCAUGGAUAUUUUCUAAUUUCAUUCAGAUCGCAGUACGCCGUUUUAGAAAAAUAUGUUAUGAUGUCGUUAUUAAAGUUUCCGUUAUUGAAGUUUCAUCCGAUUGGAUGAAAGCGAUUUUGCCGAGUCCGGCAGCCAGCAGAAUUUAAACUCGACAGACCGGCCCGGCAGUCGCCAAAACCGGUAGCCCGUCACGUGGUUACCAUGGCAACUGCCGGGUGUCCGGUAAAACCGGGACAAUGGACACCCGCCUUAAAA
rnacentral:lncRNA from 1 species